rnacentral:lncRNA from 1 species
UGACAAUCAAAUCCCAUAAAAAAUUUAAAAAAUCACGCUAAAUCUCGAAAGAAGUAGACAUACUUACUGGCAAUUUUCUAAAUACUUUCCUAAAUAUGUAGGAUUUCUUCACGUAAGAUUAAAAGAGUGAUACCAGAGGGCCAUUCAAACUCAUAGAUCGAAAAUGAACUGACAAUGCCUGGGCUCAAAAAUACAAAUACAAACAAAAUAAUAGUACACCCGAUAAGAAUGCAAGCCUAAAAUGACAGCAACAUAAGGUCAACAGGGGUACCAUGUAUAAUAUAUUUCUUGCUUGCGAUCUCAGAUGCGUUUCUUUCACAAGGUACAAACGUUGAAUGAUAUGCAAAACAAAAGUCAAACUCUGAAGCCCCAUAGCAGCAACAACAAUUCUUAUAUUACGAAUGAUGAAAGGGUUCACAUGUUGACAAGUAAUCCUACAAGGUAAAACGCUUUCUGAAAAAAACGUUGCAUAUUAUUUGUCUUUUCAUUCUUCUUGUAAAACAAUAACUUUUUUCUACCUCUCGCAAAAACUGUUAAAUACAAAUUACAGGAACAUAUUAAAAUCAAAACAAAUCAAAUAAACAGUAUGGUUAAUUCUAAAUCAUAUAAAAACAAUACCACCUAUAGCGAUUGAUUUUGUCAAACAAUAUAACUGUAUGAUACUAAUAAUUAGUUAUAAUUGUGCUACAUGUACAAUAUAAAAGUAAAAUAUCCAGACGAUUACAUAACUCCCGCAAAAUAAAACCCUGUCAAAUCGUAAAGUUUGGUCAACGAUACAUGAUGAAAAACAAUUCUAGCAUAUAUGAAAUUUUUCUUUCAUUCAACCGCAAAGGAGUCGUGUCAGUGUAUAACAAUAUAAAAAUAUUUUUAAGAAUUGUCAAAACCUAGGAAAAUAUCAUAAUAAUACAUAAUAGUGAUAUGCACAUAACAUUAUAUCGUACCAAUUAUGCGAACCUCAUGUCAAAUGUCUCAGAGGAAUUGCAUCCGCAAGGUGUGAUUGUGUAGAAAGAGAUUUGUAAAUUGUUAAAGUCUUGUUACACUUGGUGUAAAUGUCAAAUAAAACAUGACAGUAUAUUCAGUUCAAUAGAAUAACACAUCAUAAACGCAAUUUCGAAUAAAUGUUCUUUGAGUUAAAAGGUAAUUCGGACGGACGGAAUCGUUGAUGCAUUAAUGAAUACCAUUACUAUGUAUCAUGUGG